GGGUAUGAAGGUGAUCUGGCUGCAACGUGUUUCCCAUUGCUCACUAGGGUCAAUGUGGCAGAUCUGGCUGGCUAGGUGGGUGGUCAUGGCAUUGACUUCCUCUUCAGCCCAUGUGCAUCCCUCCCAAAGCUGUGUGCUCAGUGAAGAAGCCAACCUUCCCAUACAAAGGUGGGCCAUUUUUCAGGGAAGGAUAUGAGUAGCUAUGCUCCCCCACUAGACUGGCAGGGAAUUGGGAUAUGAGACAUUCAGCCUGGUGCUGGGCACAUGAUGUGGGUGCAGUGACCU
ensembl:misc_RNA 7SK 7SK RNA